rnacentral:lncRNA from 1 species
AGAGAGGGGGUACACGGCUACAAAUCCAAGGCAGAAAUGUUGAACUUUACCGCCUAACCUAAUCAGGCAAAAGCAGAGCGGCAGGAAAGAUCCUUUUUUGGAGAGAAGAUAAAAUCUGCCACCGGGAAAGGAUCAAAACAACCAGGAUAAACUCGGCGACAUUACACUCCAUUCUGCAAAUAUCUCCGACGCGUGAACAGAGUCACCGCCGAAAUCACCGGUAAAAGCUAGUAAAACGGAUCGACCAACGGCAAAUCCUACCGCCCAAAAUUAGCGGGACGAAGAGGAAAAGAUCGCGGCGUUCUAGCACUAACGAACCGUGAUCCCGGGACAGGCGCGGCGCGAGACACGAGACGCAGGCGUGAAACAGGCAGGCACGGGCCGGAGAGGGAGAGGGGAGGUACCGGUGGAGAAGGCCCUGGGGAAGGUGGAGAUCCUGAGGAAGGAGGCGGCGCGGGAGGCCCAGAGCGAUCUGGAGGCGGCCAUGGCCAUGAUCACGCGACGGGGGAGGAGGAGGGGAUCGCGCUCGCUCGCUUGCUCGCCGCCGCCNNNNN